rnacentral:ncRNA from 1 species
AUGAUACGGAAUUAAAAGGGAAUCUUGUGAAAAUCAAGAACUAUCCCCGUAGCUGUAAGUUUCCUCAUGCACAAUGUGCAAAGCGCAUGUUACUACACUCAUAAACCACUGAUUAUAAACAAAUCGGGAAGGCAUAGUAACAGAAACGAGUCAGAAGACCUGCCUGUAGCAUUA